rnacentral:lncRNA from 1 species
ACUUUGCCUUGUUUGCAAAUGACUUGCCGACUGACAUUAUUGAAGAAACCACUUUUCUGGAUGCUGCUCAGAUUAAGAAGCUGAAGGGUGUUCUUGGAGGAACUGGUUAAUAUUAUUUGAACUUGUUGAGAGUCCCUUUUUUUUUCUUUUUUUUUUUGUAUGCUUUCACGUUUGCUUGUGUCUUCUUGUCAGUGGUAGUUUGUUUGAAAUUACUAGCAAAAGAGUGAGUCUCUGUUGUGUUUCUUUGUGUUCCUUCUUCAGGUUCUAUUGUGAACCAAAAAUGUAAUAAAAAAGACCAUCCCUUUCUCGAUCUGAAAAGGUUUAAAUAAAUGCAAUUAUGUUGUUUAUCUUUCUCCCUUAAAAUGGGAAAUAGCCAACUUCAUUAAUCUCCAAAGAUGAUGGUGAGUAGCUGCAAUUGUUUGGUGGGGAAUACUGCACUGACAGAAUUUUUGGGAUGACCAUAUACCCCCUUCUCCAUUAAGAAAGAAUAUUUUAUUCCAACCCGGAUUUAAGAUAUUUAAAAAUAUUUAGAUAAAAUUAUGAGAGAAUAUAUAUUUUGGUUGGGAGUUGGUCACUACUAAAAUUGAUUACUUUCGUAAACCUUAUCAAGUAGUAGUACAAUAUAUGGUCCAAAUUCUUUUGAAAUUUAUACUGAUCAGCAAUCACUGAAUCAGAUAUGUUUUGGAGUGUAUGGCAAAACUCCCCUUGAUGCUAAACAAGUGAAAAGAGGGUUUAAUAUUAGGAUCAAUUGCACCGUACAUCAUUGGAUUUAGAUUGUAAAUUGAUCAAAAUUUUUAAAAUACUAUCAAUAUCAUAUUAAUUAAGGGUCUGUUUGAUUGAAGAAAUUGAUUUUCCGGAAAAUCAUUUCCAACUUUUCCAGCGUUUGAUUGGCGAAAAACAUUUUCCAUUUGGAAAAUGAACUCCAAAACAAGGAAAAAUGGGUUACAUUUUAGGGAAAAUGUCUUACCCUUUCAAUUUCCGUAAAACAUUUUCCGUGCUCUCCUCUCUAUCGCCUCCUUCAUUCCUUCCUUCAUUUUCGGUAGAAAAUUGCUUCUAUUUAUCGAUUUUCCAGUAACUUGUUUUUUUAAUUAUUCAAUACUUGUUUUUUUAACACAAUUACAAAUAAUUUAUUUGAUAUUAAUUUUUUUCAAUUUAUAACGAUUAAUAUUGUGGCUUAAUAAUUGAGUAUUAUUAUAAAUAAAUCAUUGCAAUAUAUGUAAAAAUAAUUUAAAUAUAAAAAUUUAUUAAUAUAUAUCAAUACAUGUAAAAAAAAUUUCGAAAAAUAUUUCCAGAAUCUGCCAACAGCCGGAGAAAUAUUUUACACAGAUUCAAUCAACACCAGAAAAUAUUUUUAGUAAAUCAUUUUACAGAAAAGUAAAUAUUUUUCGAAUCAUUUUACGGAAAAUAUUUACUGGCAAUCAAACAGACCCUAAAAGUUAGUUAAAAUAUGAGCUCAAUUCAAACAUAUUUAUAAUAAUAAAAAGUCCAAAUUACAGAUACAUAUGUAUUAUUAUAUAAACAACUUUACACCCAUUGUGUGUAAGAGGAGGAUGAGACUGUCUUCCUAAAUUUAAUGGCAUUGUUUGCUUUUUUGGCUCAUCAUAUUCAAAACAUUCUUAUAUAUAUACUUUUUAAUUUAUAUUAUAAAAGUUAUUUACAUCGUAUCUGGAUUGAUAUUAUUGAAUAACUUAACAAUUAAUAAAAUAUUAAUAUUUUGAGAAUUUAAUUGACAUAUUUAAAAUUUAGGAACUAAUUUCAAAUUUGAGCAACAAUUUAGGGUUUCUAACUCCAUUUUUAAAAAAAAAAGCCCGAUUUCUGCUGCUCGGUAGAAGAAAGUAUUUUAGUUAAUAGUAUUUUACAAUAAAGCAUUCUCACCGUUGUCUCAAAGCAAACAAAGAGACGAAAAGAGUAGUACAUCAGUAAUUACUUCUAAAUGGCAUGUCCAUGGUAUACCUACCACUUCAAACCACAAGCAUUAGAUCAAAGCAGAACACAAGUGAUCAUCUCAAUGACUAAAACUACAAGCCUUUUGGCCAGUUCUGUAAUUCUAAAAGCGAAACUGUGGUUAAUUUCAACGCAGUUUGUUGCCUUCAUUACCACUGUGAACAGCCAAACCGGCCAUGUUAGCAACAAACUGUAGAUCGGACAAGGAAUAAGACCGGCAAGGAAGGUUUGGUCGAGCAGUUAAUGAUGAUGAUGAUGAUGGGAGUUGAUUUUUUACACUGUGGAUGCAGAGGUGGAAGGCAGUUAGACGGCGAUGAUGCCAUUGAUAUUUUAGUUCCAAUGUUUCCCAAAAGAUUAUUGGGUUUCUUGUCCAAUGAAGAACUGCGAGCUAAUAAGUUCUUGCGUUUCCUAUUGUAGGGAUCUUCAGGCUUGGCAAAAUCUUUAACAGAGGAAACAGCAGCCGCAUCGGCUAAACUUGUAAAGGACUUUGAUUUGCCACCAUAAAACUUGGAUAUGCCUUUUCUGUAAUCAAACAAAACCCGCAAAGAAAAACAGAUUGAAGAACCCAUAAGAAUAACUAUGCAAGAUCUUAUUAAAAGACACCAUUUUCUUGUUCUUCAAGCAAUGGUUAGUAGGAGUAACUAGUAUCAAACCCACAUUUCACUAUUUUUUUUUAAAUUAUAAUAAUAGGGUAAAGCCCAAACAACAAACGCCAAUAACCAUCGAGCCGUCACAUGGAGUUCACAUUUCACUACUUUAAUACGCUUUAAAUAAUACAUGUCCUUAUAUUAAAAGUUAAAGCCACUUCAUCUUUUUGGAAGAAAUUGCCAAACAAAACCCUCGCUAUUUUUUUAGAUUUACACGUAAAGAGAAAACAAGCCAAAUAUUUUAAUUUUUAUAUUUUGAAUGUUAAAAAUGGUUUACCUCAGAGCAUCCAUUGUAUCCAAAGGUCCUUUGUACUUCAGGUGCUAUCUAAAGAUAUUGGACAAUUAAGAUGAUUGUCAACUGUUUCCAUAAAUUCAAAUAAUUAGGAGAAAUCAACAUUGAAAUAAGUAGUUAUAAUUAUUGACAACUGUUUCCAUAAAUUCAAUUCAGUAAUAGUUAUAUUAAAUGGACAAUUAAGAUUGAAAUAAAUAGUUAUAUUUAUUGUCAACUGUUUCCGUAACUUCAAUUCAUUAGGAGAAAACAAUUAAUAAAUUAUAUUAUAUUAAAAUUAGAUUUACUUUAGAGAAGUAUAAAUGUAAAAAUACAAUAUAAAAAAAUGUUUUAGAAUUAAAAUACUAUAUUAAGUUCAAAAUGAUAUUUAUUUGUAAAAUUAAUGAUAACUUUUACAAUAUAUGAAAUUUACCAGGAUGCAAAAGAUGUUUUUUUUCCAACCCAAAAGAGUAUUCUUCUUGUUUUCUGAGAAAAAUUUCCCCCUAAUUCACAUUAUAGGGAAUCAGUCUCAUCAUCAUCACGUGAAAGUAUGCAUGGACAUACCUUCAAGGUUUAAAUGGCUCAAAAGAUCCAUGCUUUUCGCUCUAUAUAAAGGGUGACCUCAGCUUGCAACAUCAUUUUCACCCCUCAAAAACCAGUGCCAUAAACAUGUUUCUCCCAAUCUUUUUCAUUUUCUCUUUCCUAUUUUCCUCCACCAACGCAGCCGACUUCUGUGUUGGGGGCUUGAAUGGCCCUGUAGGCCCUGCAGGCUAUUCUUGCAAGAAGACAGCCACCGAAGAUGACUUCUCUUUCUCCGGCCUCCGUACCGCAGGCAACACUUCGAACCUCGUAAAAGCUGCAAUAACACCAGCCUUUUCGACUCAAUUCCCGGGUGUUAACGGACUCGGCAUUUCAAUAGCUCGUUUGGAUUUAGCUGUUGGUGGAGUGAUACCUAUGCAUACACAACCUAGGGCUUCUGAACUCAUUCUUGUUAUGGAUGGCACACUUUUUGCUGGUUUCAUAUCCUCAGAUAACAAAGUUUACUCCAAAUCUCUGAAUGAAGGAGACAUUAUGAUUUUCCCACAAGGUUUAUUACAUUUCCAAAUCAAUACAGGCAAAACUCAAUCCGUGGCAUUUGUAUCCUUCAACAGUGCAGACCCUGGUGUCCAAAUCCUGGACUUUGCCUUGUUUACAAAUGACUUGCCGACUGACAUUAUUGAAGGAACCACUUUUCUGGAUGCUGCUCAGAUUAAGAAGCUGAAGGGUGUUCUUGGAGGAACUGGUUAAUAUUAUUUGAACUUGUUGAGAGUCCCUUUUUUUUUCGUAUGCUUUCACGUUUGCUUGUGUCUUCUUGUCAGUGGUAGUUUGUUGGAAAUUACUAGCAAAAGAGUGAGUCUCUGUUGUGUUUCUUUGUGUUCCUUCUUCAGGUUCUACUGUGAACCAAAAAUGUAAUAAAAAAGACCAUCGCUUUCUCGAUCUGAAAAUGUUUAAAUAAAGGCAAUUAUGUUGUUUAUCUUUCUCCCUUAAAAUGGGAAAUAGCCAACUUCAUUAAUCUCCAAAGAUGAUGGUGAGUAGCUGGAAU